CAGGCUUUACCACCCCAAGCGACGGCCUCAAGGACCUCGGAAGGAGGACACGUGAGCUACUAUGUCAUGUUGCUUUAAAGCACCCGCCCAAGAUGCUAUGAAGAGCUCAUUUUUCGCCUCUCGGAGAUUSUAAGUGCUGCGCCCCUCCGAACGCGCUUAAGACAAGUGUCCAUUUAAAAGAACACGAGUCACUCGGAAUCACAGCCGUAGAGUGGAGAGACCUAGAUUCGAUUCUCAGUUCUCGCCUGAUUCGCUGUGUGACCUCAGGAAAAACGCCUCUGCUCCGUGGGCCAGUUUCCCCAUUGGUAAUACGAGGGAGUGUGACGCUGCAUGUCCUCAGGACCCUUCAGUCUUUGAGAAGCUAUCAAAUUGUCUGAAAGAAGGAGAAGGCAAUACUGGGGCCCGGCCACCAGAGGCCGUCCGUACUCAGUUUCUGCGGUCCAAAGUGCCAGGCUGGUGUUAAGACCUUUCCUCUACCUGGCUUCCCAGCCUGCAGUUGACCUCAUCAGCUGGAUUGCAAGAUUCAAGAACCUUCUAUCACCUCUCCUGUGUAGUACCUUAUCAUCAUCUGACGCUGAACUUGUUUGGUUAUUGUCUUCUACCUAUGAAUGUCAGCUCCAGGGGACAGACGUGACUGUGUUGCAACACCCAGCACAAGACCCACACAAAGGAGAAGGACUAAGAAGCCGGAAGCCAUUCAGGCCCUCAAGACUUGACCCUGCAGCAGAGAUGGAGGCCAAGACUGGACCAAAGUAGCUAAUCCCACAUUAGAAAAUCCUUUGUUUUCUGUUGAGAGCCACAGUUUAGUUGGAUUGACGCCUGGCAUUUUGCUAGAGGGAAUGGUUGAACGGUGACCCUGCUCCGGGACUAGGGCAGCUCUGGGAUUAGGGCGGAUCCUGUUGGGAUUAGAGAGGAUCCUGCUGCCUUGGGAGCCCCCUACUUUGGAGUUCCUGUUGAGUUCUCCUCGUGUGUGGGGGUUCUGGGAGAAUUGGCAUGCGGAGGCCAGUGGAGGGAGUGUGUUUCCAGGAAGUGUGUGUA